rnacentral:rRNA from 1 species
UAGGGAAUCUUCGGCAAUGGACGAAAGUCUGACCGAGCAACGCCGCGUGAGUGAAGAAGGUUUUCGGAUCGUAAAACUCUGUUGUUAGAGAAGAACAAGGACGUUAGUAACUGAACGUCCCCUGACGGUAUCUAACCAGAAAGCCACGGCUAACUACGUGCCAGCAGCCGCGGUAAUACGUAGGUGGCAAGCGUUGUCCGGAUUUAUUGGGCGUAAAGCGAGCGCAGGCGGUUUCUUAAGUCUGAUGUGAAAGCCCCCGGCUCAACCGGGGAGGGUCAUUGGAAACUGGGAGACUUGAGUGCAGAAGAGGAGAGUGGAAUUCCAUGUGUGGCGGUGAGAUGCGUAGAUAUAUGGAGGAACACCAGUGGCGAAGGCGGCUCUCUGGUCUGUACCUGACGCUGAGGCUCGAAAGCGUGGGGAGCAAACAGG